rnacentral:misc_RNA from 1 species
UCUCCGUAGGUGAACCUGCGGAGGGAUCAUUACAGAGUUCAUGCCCUACCGGGUAGAUCUCCCACCCUAUGUUAUUAUUACUUUGUUGCUUUGGCGGGCCGUUAGGCUCCGGCCCGACUACCGGCCCCGGCUGGUAAGCGCCCGCCAGAGGACCCAAAACCCUGAAUAUUAGUGUCGUCUGAGUACUACAUAAUAGUUAAAACUUUCAACAACGGAUCUCUUGGUCCUG